UCUGUCCUUGACCUUUCCAGUGUUGACAGUGAUGCCUUUGAAAUCCUCCUCUCCUUGGCUUCCAUAGCAAUACGCACUCCUAGAGUUUGUCACCCUCUUUUGCCCCUCCACUUCAUUCUUCUUCACAAGGGCCAGCCUUCACGUGUUGAGGUUCUUUGGGAUGCUGCCUGGCUGUUCUUCAUUGUGGACUUGAUGUUUUCCUCUAUCCUGUUGUGCACAUUCUUACGGCUUCAAUACUUUGUCUAAGCUGUUGAUUUCAAAGUUGGCAUUUCAUCCCAGCUCUCUCCUGAGUUUCAGACUGCCUUUUCAAAAGCCUACUGGGCAUCUCUAUCCAGUGGUCACCCAGGCACAUCAACUCAUUCCAAACUGGUGACUCUCCAGGUAUUUCUAUCUCACCCACCCCAAGAUGCUCAAGCAGAACACCUGGCAUCUCCUUGGGUCAUCUUUUCCCCAUCUUUAUACUUAUUCUCCAUCUAAUCCCAUCUACCCAUUACAUGUUUUUUAAAUCCAUCCACCUCUUUUCAACCCCACUGCUCAUUCCCUACAUCAUUAACAUCUUUCUCGUAGACUCCUUGACCUCCCUCCAAAUUCUUGCUGUGGUCUGAAGAAUUUUUCUAAAGUGUAAAUCUGGCCAAGUCAGUCCCCUGUGUAAGGCUCUUUCAUGGUUUCUCGUUGCUUUUAGGAUAAGUUCAAGUCCUUAUCAAGGAUCUUAAGACCUACCUUGCCUGGCCCCAGGUUACCCUCCCCAACCUAACUCAUACCACUCCCAAACACAUAUUCCAAGUUCUGACCAUACAGCACUGUUUUCAAAUCCUUGAACAAGCCAAGGGUGACUUGCCUCUGGGGCUUUUUCCUGCCAUUCUUCUUCCUGGAACACUUUCUCAGAAUCCUGUUUCUCCACUAAUUCCUAUUUGUCUUUCUGAUGCUACUCCACAGGUCCCCUCCUCCAGGAAGCCCUCCGUGUUCUCCCAGGCUAGAUGAGAGCCCCUCCUCUGUAUCCUAUAUUUCUUGGGCACACAAUAAUUCUGUACAUUUGAAGCUCAUUCUACUCUUUCUACUUCCUCUGUCCCAGCACUUAGUACAGGUGAUUGUAGCAGCCUCUUUAUGGGUCAGAGCCGCCUACAGGACCAGAAGCUUCAUGAAGCCAGCACCCCAACUUCCAACACCAGCGUCCGCAAUGCCCAACAGAGAUCCCAGGUGAGGAAGCUGAACUGACUUUGGUGACAUAUAUUCCCCAAGAUCUGACAGCUGAUGAGUGACAGAGCACGUAUUCAAACCCAGAUGAUGGAUCCAGCCACAAGUGACACUUUGCACAGGACAACCGUGGGCCCCAGCAGAGGACUGGCAGCCCCCAUGCAUGGAAGACAGCACAGCCAUGUGAAGACACAGAUGCAGGAGGGAAGAUGUCAUGAGGGCAGAAAUUGGAGUUAUGUAACUG
rnacentral:lncRNA from 1 species